GGCUGCGGAAGUGGGUGGACCUCGGGGUCCCCCUUCCCAGCCGCUUUGGUCUCCGCUCCUCAACGUGCCCCCCAGCCUCCCCUAAGAAAUUCUGUGGGGGCGUCGGAAAGGCGGGUGCACAGGACUCGGCCCCCACCCAAGCGUUCGCCUCCUGCAGCAUCGCGGCCACCACGCAAGCCCAGGGCCUGACCAACGUGAAGGCCCCGCUACACCUGGACGUGACGUGGGGCUGGGAGCACUGGGGCGGGAUCCUGCCACAGUCGCUGGACCUGUUGCUCUGCAUCAACAUGGCCCAUGUCAGCCCCCUGCGCUGCACGGAGGUCUGUGGGGAGCCCAGCAUGGGUGUCUGCCGUGGCACCACUCACCCUGCAUGGGGGCAGCUGGGAUGCCAGAUUUGCCCCCAUCACAGUCGGGGGGCUCUUCAGAGCAGCAGGACACCUGCUCAAACCCAGGGCCCUGCUCAUCACCUACGGGGUGAGUGGGCCUGUCCACGGCGGGCCUCCCGCUCCCAGUCCUAGCUGCUGUCUCCUGCCCUGCUGAGAGUCCUCCCUCCUGGGCUCCCUGCCCCCCGCCCAGCCACCAGCACGGCCUCCCCUCCACUUCCAGUCUGUACCCCUCCCUGGGUCAUCUGCCAGCCUCCCUACCCCCUUGCCCACCAGGCUGGCCUUGGCUGACUCCCUCUUGGGGACAGGGAGGGGGUGCCCUUUCAUUCUCCAAACCCCAGCCUGCAAGUCUGUCCCAGGCUCUCUGGGAAAUACCCCGACCUUGGUCCAGUGGGCUGUGUCCCCAUGCCCACAGCCCUAUGCCAUCAAUGGGAAGAUCUCCCCCCAGAGCAACGUGGACUUUGACCUGAUGCUCAGAUGCAGGAACCCAGAAUGGGGGCUUCGGGACACAGCCCUCCUGGAGGACCUGGGAAAGGCCAGUGGCCUGCUCCUGGAGAGGAUGGUGGACAUGCCAGCCAACAACAAAUGCCUGAUCUUCCGGAAAAACUAAGCCCCUCCUUCACCCCCGCACACCUGCAUCCCUGCCGGAGGCUCUGUGAGGCACGAACCCUGCCUCCCUAGGCCGGACCUUGUG
rnacentral:lncRNA from 10 species